rnacentral:rRNA from 1 species
CCUACGGGAGGCAGCAGUGGGGAAUAUUGCACAAUGGGCGCAAGCCUGACGCAGCGACGCCGCGUGAAGGAAGAAGGCUUUCGGGUUGUAAACUUCUUUUCUCAGGGAAGAAGCAAGUGACGGUCCCUGGAGAAUAAGCCACGGCUAACUACGUGCCAGCAGCCGCGGUAAUACGGAGGGGGCAAGCGUUAUCCGGUUUUACUGGGUGUAAAGGGCGUGUAGGCGGGGACGCAAGUCAGUUGUGAAAACCCCGGGCUUAACCUGGGACCUGCAUUGGAAACUGUGUUUCUUGAGUGCUGGAGAGGCAGGCGGAAUGCCUAGUGUAGCGGUGAAAUGCGUAGAUAUUAGGAGGAACACCAGUGGCGAAGGCGGUUUUCUGGACAGCAACUGACGCUGAGGCGCGAAAGCGUGGGGAGCAAACAGGAUUAGAUACCCUGGUAGUC